GGGCGUUUAGCUCAGUUGGUAGAGCGUCUCCCUUACAAGGAGAGGGUCAUAAGUUCGAGUCUUAUAACGCCCACCA
rnacentral:tRNA from 1 species